rnacentral:rRNA from 1 species
GACAGAGGUGCCAAGCGUUAGGCGGAAUCACUGGGCUUAAAGCGUGUGUAGGCGGAUCGUUAAGUACCUUGUGAAAUCCCACGGCUCAACCGUGGAAGUGCACUCGAAACUGCGUAGCUAGAGUCCUGGAGAGGAAGGUGGAAUGCUUGGUGUAGAGGUGAAAUUCGUAGAUAUCAAGCGGAACACCGGUGGCGAAGGCGGCCUUCUGGACAGUGACUGACGCUGAGACGCGAAAGCGUGGGGAGCAAACAGG